rnacentral:rRNA from 1 species
AUUGAACGCUGGCGGCAGGCUUAACACAUACAAGUCGAGCGGGGUGAUGGUGCUUGCACUAUCACUUAGCGGCGGACGGGUGAGUAAUGCUUAGGAAUCUGCCUAUUAGUGGGGGACAACAUCUCGAAAGGGAUGCUAAUACCGCAUACGUCCUACGGGAGAAAGCAGGGGAUCACUUGUGACCUUGCGCUAAUAGAUGAGCCUAAGUCGGAUUAGCUAGUUGGUGGGGUAAAGGCCUACCAAGGCGACGAUCUGUAGCGGGUCUGAGAGGAUGAUCCGCCACACUGGGACUGAGACACGGCCCAGACUCCUACGGGAGGCAGCAGUGGGGAAUAUUGGACAAUGGGGGGAACCCUGAUCCAGCCAUGCCGCGUGUGUGAAGAAGGCCUUAUGGUUGUAAAGCACUUUAAGCGAGGAGGAGGCUCUUUUGGUUAAUACCCAAGAUGAGUGGACGUUACUCGCAGAAUAAGCACCGGCUAACUCUGUGCCAGCCGCCGUAAUAC